rnacentral:tRNA from 1 species
GCCCCGGUGGCCUAGGCUGGUAGGGCACCUGCUUGGUAAGCAGGGGGUCGCGGGUUCGAGUCCCGCCCGGGGCU